GACGAACGCUGGUGGCGUGCUUAACACAUGCAAGUCGAACGAAUGACUUUAAGAAGAUUUCUUCGGAAUGAAACUUAAAAGAUUUAGUGGCGAACGGGUGAGUAACACGUGAGAAACCUGCCUAUCACAAGGGGAUAGCCUCCGGAAACGGUGAUUAAUACCCUAUGACAUCACACAAUCGCAUGAUUGAGUGAUUAAAAGAUUUAUCGGUGAUAGAUGGUCUUGCGGCUGAUUAGCUAGUUGGUGGGGUAAUGGCCUACCAAGGCGACGAUCAGUAUCCGGCUUGAGAGGGUGAACGGACACACUGGAACUGAGACACGGUCCAG
rnacentral:rRNA from 1 species